rnacentral:rRNA from 1 species
GAAGGGUGCAAGCGUUACUCGGAAUUACUGGGGCGUAAAGCGUGCGUAGGUGGUGGUUUAAGUCUGCUGUGAAAGCCCUGGGGCUCAACCUGGGGAAUUGCAGUGGAUACUGGGUCACUAGAGUGUGGUAGAGGGAUGCGGAAUUUCCGGUGUAGCAGUGAAAUGCGUAGAGAUCGGAAGGAACAUCCGUGGCGAAGGCGGCAUCCUGGGCCAACACUGACACUGAGGCACGAGAGCGUGGGGAGCAAACAGGAUUAGAUACCCUGGUAGUCCACGCCCUAAACGAUGCGAACUGGAUGUUGGGUGCAACUUGGCACCCAGUAUCGAAGCUAACGCGUUAAGUUCGCCGCCUGGGGAGUACGGUCGCAAAGACUG